rnacentral:rRNA from 1 species
UACGGAGGGUGCAAGCGUUACUCGGAAUCACUGGGCGUAAAGAGCGCGUAGGCGGGAUAGCAAGUCAGAUGUGAAAUCCUAUGGCUUAACCAUAGAACUGCAUUUGAAACUGUUAUUCUAGAGUAUGGGAGAGGUAGGUGGAAUUCUUGGUGUAGGGGUAAAAUCCGUAGAGAUCAAGAGGAAUACUCAUUGCGAAGGCGACCUGCUAGAACAUAAACUGACGCUGAUGCGCGAAAAGCGUGGGGAGCAAACAGG